GAACAAAACAAGCUCUUAAAUGACUCAUCCGAGGUGAGAGAAGUAUUCAACCACUGGCAAUAGACAGGUUUUUUUUUUUUUUUUUUGCUUCACGGUAUCACCAUGAAGGAAAAAGGGUGUCUGCACAUUGUAAUGGCUGUAAAGUAAUGACGCCAUCAGUUUCGCUGUGGAAUAUUGUCCAUCACCGGGCACAUCUCCUGGCACCAUUUCUAUCUGCUUUCAUGUUUCCCUUUAUAGACUAAGGAAUGAAUAUACCCGUGUUUUGUCCUGUGUUGUUGGUAGUCGCUAAUGGGAAAUAACCUGUCUCUGCAGCAGUGGUGCAAACAAUAAAACCCCUCGGAAACACUCGGGAGGUUUGUUUUUUUUAUACCAUGUAUUUAAAUGUCAACAGUAUUUCAAUGCUGUUUAGUUUAUCUAUGAAACGGCAUCAUAUUUUUUAAGAUCUUGUAUUAAGCAGCACUUAAUGGCAAGAACAACUACCACAGAAUUGUACACUUGAUUAGAUGUACUUUAUCACCAAUGUGAGUCAUUAGCAUUGCACUUAAUUGGGACCAAUAGACUAAAUGCACUUCAUCUCGACGCGUGCAUCAGCUGAGGGUUAAAAGUUUCUCGGCUCUUUUGCUUCUGUUGCCGAUUUCACGUCCAAGGAACUGACAUCCAACCCAUCUUCAUUCGAGCGUGUCCGGGGGCCACUGGGAGUCUCCUUGACCCCCUUGGCAGGCACCCAUGUAGGAUGUGCUGCUGACCGACCCCAGAUCCCUUUGAGAUGUCUGCUAUUAUGCAACACUUGGAGCUGCUCGUGAAUGCCAAUUACGUCCUCGAAUCCAACAGGGGGAGGAUGGAGGGAGAUCAGGCGGCAGAGUGAGAUGCAACUGGAGAUGCACCGCUGUGACUGCAUAGCAGAGAACUCUAUGCCGGGACGGACGAAUGGAGGGAUGGUGUGGACAGAUCCAGUCCGGACAGACCCGAGCAGCAGCUCUGACCGAGAUGAAUGAAUCCCUGAAGCGGAGGGUCAGUGGAAAUAUACGGAGCGGAGCAGCUGGAGUUCCCGACACUCUGCUGCCUCUGACCGGACUGCUGCCGCUGCUGCAUGCCGCUGCACCUCCGCACUGAAGGGCCCGCAGCGACCCCUGGCGGCAGGAAGAGGCAACGCAGGGCCCGAGUUCAGAGGAAAUCCGCCCUUUUUAACAUCACAAUGCACGUUCAAAUCUGACACAGUGAUUUUUUUUUUUUUUUUUUCAAGAAUGAGGCUACGAAGAUGUCACCAUUUAAUUCAAUAACACUUUAAAAGUAUAAUCCUGAUUUAGAAAACUACAUUUAAAACUACUUAAAUCCUGUGUGCUCCAUCUAUGGAUAUUUUUGUCAAUAUGAUGUAAUUUUAUUUUUUUUUUUAACCUAAAAUCCUGUUUUCUUUUUAGGGGUAUCAGCUCUUUCCCUCUAUGAGACGUGAUCCUGGAUAGCGUUCCUUUAAACGAAGGCUUAACUGCAGUAAUGAAAUGGCACCAGCUCCUUCAGUACCUCUACGCUCAAAUUUACCAAGCUCACACUUUUGUCACUCUCCAGCACAGUCAGAAACCAGUCAGUGGGUUGAGACAGUGGAGAUUAAGGCAUCAGCACCGUAACCCACGUCACUGAUUUAUGCUAAUCAGACCGAGUGGGAGUUCCCAUUUUAAAAACCUGGGAAAGAACCAGAGGGAGCGUGACAGCUGCUCAGUGGCACAUGUAGCCAAAAAAAACAAGUGUGACUUCCCACGACAAAACUGCUGUUUAAAUGCGUUUUAACAAACUGAACUCACCCAGUCGGGAUGAUGGAAACGGGGCAAUUGUUAUACCAGGUGUGAUCUGACAUACUCGGAGCUGUCCACUUGUGAUUGGAUCGCCAGGUGUAAACAGGGCCUUUAGGUUUGCCCUGCUUGUGUGAGGAUCUAAGGCUCAUUUGCAUCAAGCAAAG
rnacentral:lncRNA from 1 species